GGUUACUUGGGUUCAUGCUUGAAUGACUGAAUUGAACUUUUGUACCCUGGAGAAUUGUGACUGUUUUGUUUCAGAUGUAAUUCUGAAUCAUGUGCAUUAAUUACUUGCUUUGUUUUGUGGAAAUAAUACUGAAACACAGCAUAAUUUGUAUGAAUAUAAUUUGCUCGUGGCUGUGUCUGGAAAGUCUUGUAAACUGACAAACUUCACAAAGAAAGCAGUGAAUUUUGACAGAGUGCUACUGUCUUAAAUGAAUUAUUAUAUGCAUUCAACUACAGAUGGGGUAAAGGUUCAUUUUUUAAUUAAACAGUGGAUGGAAAUACAAGCUACUACAUUGUAGUGGUCAGCUUUAAAUUUUUUCCAGACUAGCAGGCAAAUUCUAUGCAUGGUUUUCCUUCUUUGGUGGGAACAAUUCGAGUUCCAGAAAAGAUGCAUAUCCUUUUAUUUCCUUUGCUUCAAUUAUUUCAAUAUUUUUGAAGCCGUAAUGACUCAUGAUUUAGAAUUAUGGGUAAAUACCAAGAGGAACUCAUUUUUAUCAUCCUAAAAGCUUUGGCCCUUUCAAUAAAAGCAAAAUGAUUUGGAGUGAUGAUGAUUUUCAGUGUCUCAUUUCACUAUAAAUGGCUGUGUUAUUAUCGUUACAGCUAAAUUUAAUUGUUGUAACCAUUGAUUCAGAAUCGUUGCCAAAACAGUGUGGACCUGAUCCAAAGAACAUUAAUCCAGUUUAAAGUAAUGAAGCGAGUUAGCUAUCCAUAUUAUGGUAGCAUUUAGGAGAGUCUACUACAAUGUCUCACAGUUGGACCUGCUUCAAAGACUGUUAAGAAAUUGCAGAUAGUUAAGUACAUCUACUAGGUUGAGGCAGUGAACACAGUAUACAUUUAAAGCCCAUUUCCCCCUAAGAAUCCUGGAAACUUUAGUUUGUUUAGGAUGCUGAGAUAAACUGUAGUUCUCGGGUUUCGGGGGAAUGUGUUUUAAAUGUGCACCAAAUGUAUGGUGGGUACACAGCUUGGGCCUGGUGUAUUUUAAAGACACUGCAAAAACAGCACUGCCUUCUGGUCUUUUUCCAAGCACAAUUCAAAGUGCUGGUGUUAAAUUGCAUUAAAAGGUUAGAACCAAGAUAUAGUGGUACCUGGGGUUAAGAACUUCAUUCGUUCUGUAGGUCCGUUCUUAACCUGAAACUGUUCUUAACCUGAUGUACCACUUUAGCUAAUGGGGCCUGCCUCUGCACCGCCGCCGCACGAUUUCUGUUCUCAUUCUGAAGCAAAGUUCUUAACCUGAGGUACUGUUUCUGGGUUGGCGGAGUCUGUAACCUGAAGCGUCUGUAACCCGAGGUACCACUGUACUUGAAUGAAUGCUUGUUCCCAUACCAGCCUGCCUGCAUACUGAGGUCGUCUUUAGAGUCUCUCCUCAGGUUGCGACUAGCUGUGUGUGCCAAAGGGACCUUUGGAUAGGGUUCCCGUAUACCAAAUUGCAAAGUAGUUUUGAAACUGAAAGAAGUUUCGAAACAUCUUGUGAUAUGGGGGUCUCUUGUUGAAAGAACAACAUUUGAAAAUCCCACUGGGUACCCGCUAGGUCUUGUACUCACCUAAAGUAGCUUUUUGGAUUCCAGCCAGUUCUUGAAAAUAAGUCUCUUAUUUCAGUAGAACUCUGCAUUCAAGUCUGCAUGUGCUUAGGCUGUGGCCUAAAUGGGCCUUUGACCUUGCAUUUUUCCAACGAAAUAUGCACUUGGUGACACAUCAUUUUGAUACCACUCCAUUUCUCUCUCUCUCUCUCUCUCUCUCUAAAAAAGCUGAUAUAAUUUAUGAGCUACACUCUCAUUAAAUAAGAAUUGAAUGUAUGAUAUCUUUAUAGUUGGCAGUAGGUUUCAGAUCUGGCUGCAUAACACAGUGAAUAUUGAAUAUCGUCUUUGGAGAUACGUAAAGCUGUAUAUGAGAUGCAGACAGGCAGCAACAAUCUUAGGAAUGUAAGCUAAUAAGUAAGGUCUGAAUUCAACAGAGAUAAUGUAACAAUAAAUGCAGCACUAGGAAUUGAUGCUGUAGAAACAAAAUCAUUUGGACAUAGAUUCAGAUUCAGAUUUGUUAUUUUUAACUAGAGCUGUGCUGAAGAUUUCAAACCUCCCCCCCCCCAAACAUUCAUUGAUUGGAUGGGUAAAAAAAACAAGGAAGAUUGAUGGAGAGUGGAGGCAAAGAAGAAAUUUCACCAAAAUCUUUAGGAGGGGAUUGUUACUGUUUUCAUUUUUCUCCAUGGUGGUUGUUUUUUUAAGCACUCUGUGCCACUUGUGGCUGUAUGGUGUGUUGCGAAAAAUUAAUCCCUCUCUGCUCAAGUUCCAUUCUGGAUUAUGCUACCUUUUAGAUUUAACAAUACAAGUGCAAACUAGGCAUUUAGCAUAAUGCGUGGUUUGGUUCUGUGUUUGGGAUAUCCGGAUGUAAACCUGUUUUGAAUGGUAUGCCCAGUCUACCUUUUUUUGUGUACGAAUUUCCCCUUAUAAGUUGGCCUUUAGCAUAUAUAUUUUCUGUGGAAUGCUAAGGGAAUGUUUAGAAUUUUCUGUGCCCUGAAGAGGCCAUUCAGAUUGCAGGAGAUUCCAUUGUUUAAUAGAGUAUUCCCUCUUGCAUUUAAAAUCAUAGACUAUAAAAUACAUAAAUGCCACAACUAGAGGAGCAGCAUAGUUUUUUUCUACAACAUUUAUUAACAUGACGCAGACCAUGCAGGUUCUGGCAGUCUAGAAAGGAGAACUGUAUUGUUUCCUUCUUGCCACCAUCAUUAAUUUUGACAGAUCUGAGUAGUUUGCAUUUUUGCACUCGCAUGUUUUGAUUAACCUUUCCCCCCCCAUCUUUGCUUCGGAGGUCUUGCUCAGCAAAAGUGAGCUUAUAAGACACUUUGUGUAAUGUGAGAAGAAGGCCAUUGAUGCAAUUGGAUUCAUUUAGAAUUUACAAUGGUCUAACACAAUAUAUUUCAGUAUUAAUAUAAUGUAUAGAUUUUUCUUUUCUUUGCAGCUUUUGCUGGUCUCUCAAGUUACCAAAGUCACUGCCUAUCUGUAAGCACUUCAUGCAGAACUAGAAUACUAAGCACACUAUUUUACGGGUUUGUUUCUAGGAAUAGUCAGUGGUUGGACAUUUUGGCAAGCUGAAUUGUUAUUUACGUUUGUAUCCCAUGUUUCCUCAAAGGAAGUCAAAGUAGUGUACAUGGUUCUCCCCCUCAGGAGUAGACUUUGGUCAUUCAAAUUUCAGCAGUGCCCUGUGUGAGCCCAACAUUUGGCAUCCCCCCAACCUCUCUCCUUUCAUUCUGUUCAGUUCACGGCAUCAUCAACGAAAAGAAAAGAACUCACACUGAAACUCACCUACAGGUGGUACCUAACACCAAGGAAACUAGCGCUAAUACACCCAGGAACCUCACCAAAAUGCACCUCCACAGGCACAUACCUCCACAUGUGGUGGGAGUGUCCCAAAAUCCAACUAUUCUGGACAACAGCCAUACAAGAAAUAUGUAAAAUAACUAAGCAAGUAAUAGACAUCACCCCAGAAUUGGCCCUACUAAACAUCUUCCAAGACAACAAUGCCCAUUUACACCACAAAGAACUCAUAACCCACCUGCUCUCAGCAGCCAGAAACACCAUAACCAGACACUGGAGAGACCUGUCAGGAGUAAGCAUGGACCAAUGGUACCAAAUAGUAUGGGAAACAGCCCUACUAGAAAAAUUAACUAAUAAACUGAAACUGACACGGGGACAAACAGAAGAAGAUGCCUUCACCCGGUAUGGCUCCCAUUUAUCACAUACACAGCCCAACAGGACAAUGACAAUAAUCCACCAACAGCAUACAAAUCAAUAUGGCUAACCUGAUCCAAAACACCCACCCACCUCACUCACACACGAAAACAAAGAUCACCACAGCCAAUCACAAGCAAACAAUCACACCCUAGGCCAACCCCAACCUCUCUCACCACCAAAGGAACACAAGUGAACAACACAAGCAACGCUGACACCAAACUCUACAUACAUUAAACAUAAUAGAAACACCGCCACCCGACCCCACCCCAUCCAUCUUCCCACACGCCACCCCCCCUUUGCAUUUUUCAAUUUUUUUUUCUUCUUCUCCCCCUAAUGCCUCAACAAAUGAAACGGAUUUGUAAAAAUGUUACAUGGGGAAAAAAAUACGAGGCACUACACUUCUG